rnacentral:rRNA from 1 species
UACCAGCUCUCCGAGUGGUGUGGAUGUUUAUUGGGCCUAAAGCAUCCGUAGCUGGCUGGGCAAGUCCCCUGUUAAAUCCACCGAUUUAAUCGUUGGUGUGCGGGGGAUACUGUUCGACUAGGGGACGGGAGAGGCCGACGGUAUUUUCGGGGUAGGGGUGAAAUCCUAUAAUCCCGGGAAGACCACCAGUGGCGAAGGCUGUCGGCUAGAACGCGCCCGACGGUGAGGGAUGAAAGCUGGGGGAGCGAACCGGAUUAGAUACCCGGGUAGUCCCAGCUGUAAACUAUGCGGGCUAGGUGUUGGGGUGGCUACGGGCCACUUCAGUGCCGCAGGAAAGCCAUUAAGCCCGCCGCCUGGGGAGUACGGCCGCAAGGCUGAACUUAAAGGAAUUGGCGGGGAGCACCACAAGGCGUGAAGCUUGCGGUUC